rnacentral:rRNA from 1 species
CAGUCGCCGCGGUAAUACGAAGGGGGCUAGCGUUGCUCGGAAUGACUGGGCGUAAAGGGCGCGUAGGCGGAUCACGCAGUCAGAUGUGAAAUUCCUGGGCUUAACCUGGGGGCUGCAUUUGAGACGCGUGGUCUAGAGUGUGAAAGAGGGUCGUGGAAUUCCCAGUGUAGAGGUGAAAUUCGUAGAUAUUGGGAAGAACACCGGUGGCGAAGGCGGCGACCUGGUUCAUGACUGACGCUGAGGCGCGAAAGCGUGGGGAGCAAACAGGAUUAGAUACCCCUGUAGUCCCUGUCUCUUAUAC